rnacentral:rRNA from 1 species
GACGAACGCUGGCGGCGUGCUUAACACAUGCAAGUCGAACGGAAAGGCCUGCUUUCCCUUGUGGAUUGCGGGUACUCGAGUGGCGAACGGGUGAGUAACACGUGAGUGAUCUGCCCCCAACUUGGGUAUAAGCCUGGGAAACUGGGUCUAAUUCCCGAUAGGACUGCAGGGUGGUGCCUGUGGUGGAAAACGAUUUUCUAGUGGUUGGGGAUGAGCUCGCGGCCUAUCAGCUUGUUGGUGGGGUAAUGGCCUACCAAGGCGGCGACGGGUAGCCGGCCUGGGGGGGUGGGCCGGCACAGGGGGACUGAGACACGGGGCAGGAGCCUACGGCAGGCAGCAGUGGGGAAUAAUGAACAAUGGGCGGAGGCCUGAUGCAGCGACGCCGCGUGGGGGAUGACGGGCGUCGGGUUGUAAACUCCUGUCGGCCGCGAGGAAGCCACCUGGUUGGAAGGGUGGUGACGGUAGUGGUAGAAGAAGCACCGGCUAACUACGUG